rnacentral:rRNA from 1 species
UACGGAGGAUGCAAGCGUUAUCCGGAAUGAUUGGGCGUAAAGCGUCCGCAGGUGGCUAUGUAAGUCUGCUGUUAAAGAGUCUAGCUCAACUAGAUAAGAGCAGUGGAAACUACAUGGCUAGAGUGCGUUAGGGGCAGAGGGAAUUCCUGGUGUAGCGGUGAAAUGCGUAGAUAUCAGGAGGAAUACCGAUGGCGAAGGCAGGUCUCUGGGCUGACACUGACGCUCAUGCACGAAAGCGUGGGGAGCAAACAGG